rnacentral:rRNA from 1 species
GAUGAACGCUAGCUACAGGCUUAACACAUGCAAGUCGAGGGGCAUCGCAGUGUAGCAAUACAUGGGUGGCGACCGGCGCACGGGUGCGUAACGCGUAUCCAACCUUCCCGUUACUCAGGGAUAGCCUUCCGAAAAGGGAGAUUAAUACCUGAUGGUGUUUGAAUUCCGCAUGUUAUUCAAACUAAAGAUUAAUCGGUAACGGAUGGGGGAUGCGUGACAUUAGAUAGUAGGCGGGGUAACGGCCCACCUAGUCUACGAUGUCUAGGGGGUUCUGAGAGGAAGGUCCCCCACACUGGAACUGAGACACGGUCCAGACUCCUACGGGAGGCAGCAGUGAGGAAUAUUGGUCAAUGGUCGGAAGACUGAACCAGCCAAGUAGCGUGAAGGAUGAAGGUUCUAUGGAUUGUAAACUUCUUUAUACGGGAAUAAAACCUCCCACGUGUGGGAGCUUGUAUGUACCGUAUGAAUAAGCAUCGGCUAACUCCGUG